CCUACGGGUGGCAGCAGUCGAGAAUCAUUCACAAUGGGGGAAACCCUGAUGGUGCGACGCCGCGUGGGGGAAUGAAGGUCUUCGGAUUGUAAACCCCUUUCAUGUGGGAGCAAAUUAAAAAGAUAGUACCACAAGAGGAAUAGACGGCUAACUCUGUGCCAGCAGCCGCGGUAAUACAGAGGUCUCAAGCGUUGUUCGGAAUCACUGGGCGUAAAGGGUGCGUAGGCUGUUUCGUAAGUCAUGUGUGAAAGGGGGGGGCUCAACCCGAGGAGGGCAGAUGAUACUGGGAGACUAGAGUAAUGGAGGGGGAAGCGGAAUUCUCGGUGUAGCAGUGAAAUGCGUAGAUAUCGAGAGGAACACUCGUGGCGAAGGCAGGUUACUGGACAUUAACUGACGCUGAGGCACGAAGGUCAGGGGAGCGAAAGGGAUUAGAUACCCUUGUAGUC
rnacentral:rRNA from 1 species